GUUUUCUUAGUAUAAUAAGUACUGGUGGCUUCCAACCACCUAGCCCUGGUUAAACUCUAGGAGGAAAUA
rnacentral:tRNA from 1 species